rnacentral:rRNA from 1 species
UACGGAGGGGGCUAGCGUUGUUCGGAAUUACUGGGCGUAAAGCGCGCGUAGGCGGGCUGGUAAGUUGGGGGUGAAAUCCCAGGGCUCAACCCUGGAACUGCCCUCAAUACUGCCAGUCUUGAGUUCGAGAGAGGUAAGUGGAAUUCCUAGUGUAGAGGUGAAAUUCGUAGAUAUUAGGAAGAACACCAGUGGCGAAGGCGGCUCACUGGCCCGGUACUGACGCUGAGGCGCGAAAGCGUGGGGAGCAAACAGGAUUAGAAACCCCAGUAGUCC